UACGAAGGGGGCUAGCGUUGCUCGGAAUUACUGGGCGUAAAGGGCGCGUAGGCGGCACUGUUAGUCAGGCGUGAAAGUCCUGGGCUCAACCUGGGAACUGCGCUUGAUACGGCAGAGCUAGAGGAUGGAAGAGGCUCGCGGAAUUCCCAGUGUAGAGGUGAAAUUCGUAGAUAUUGGGAAGAACACCGGUGGCGAAGGCGGCGAGAUGGUCCAUUACUGACGCUGAGGCGCGACAGCGUGGGGAGCAAACAGG
rnacentral:rRNA from 1 species